GCCACAUAGCAUCAAUGAAAGGAUCUGAAAUUUGACAAGAUUGGAAACACCUUCGGACAGGCACAAGGAAGUCACAUGUGGCCUGCCCAGCUUUGCAAUAUAGCCUGACUGAGGAAGCCUACACAGAUAUGCCCUAGGAAUCAGACAAUAAAACUGAAAAACAGACUAUAUAUAAAUGGACAACUGAGAAAAGAAGAUAGAUGUGGUGAGGAACCAGUCUUCUUGAAUCCCAGAUGGUUUCUAGUGGAUUUAUCUUAGCGGUUUGCUGAACUUCCCCCAGAAACCUGCUCGGAAGUCACCUGAGCCUUAGCCAGCAGAGGACUCUUUUGAUCCAUGUCCUUAGGCUGUUGAGCUCAGCUCAGGGAAUUGCUCCAUCCAGACCACCACAGCUCUUCCAGGGACAUGAAGAGCAAGAAAUGGAAACAAGCGAGCCCCACAGAGAGUUCGGAUUAAUGUGCAGUAAUUGCAUCACUGAUAUCUGUGUCCAGUCACAGUUGGCAUUCAAGAUUCUGUUGACUUUUACUGUUGAAGGCUUCCUUUAAGGGAAGCAAACACAAAUAAAAAGGCUGCCUCUCCACUGUAGCAAAGCUAAGUAAGAUCACUGUCCAACCCAGGAUAUCCAAAUUCAUGGUCAAAAAUCCAAAAGGGCUCAUCCAGCGCUUCUGGAGCAGCAGGGAAGCUUUGCCACAGGAUCCAGCAUCUCAGGGCACAGUAUCUUGCAUGGCUGACUUGAUCUCACUUUCUUCCUCGGAGCAGCUGUGUGGCAAUUCAGAGGUGAAGAGGCAGAUAAUUGGACAGUGGAAUUGAGUCCUGUGUGAUACAGAGCUAAAAAAGAAAUUCCUUCAGUAUCAACAGCAGUGUGGAAAGAACCCAACAAACAAAACUCUGUAUGUACAGCAAAUGAAGCCAAAGGGUGGCUUGAGAACAGUGGAGUUCUGCUUGGAUGUGACGAGACCACCAGCCAGAAAGCUCAGAGGCAUUACUCAUGAUGCAAGGCUGCUGUCAAGUAAUGAUUUAACUUAAAAAUGCCAUCUAUUCUUUUCCCUACCUGCCUACUCAGUACAUUGCAAAUUAACAUGAAAAGUGACUUCAGCACAAAUUGUUUAAUUUGUUUUUGUCAGGCCCGAGGUGUUGUGGAAACAAGAGACCCAG
rnacentral:lncRNA from 1 species